AUCAGGCAAGACCACCCGCUGAGUUUAAGCAUAUCACUAAGCGGAGGAAAAGAAACUAACAAGGA
rnacentral:rRNA from 1 species